rnacentral:misc_RNA from 1 species
UUAAAGCUCUAGCCAAUCACAUCAGCCGUAAGAACAAGUGGUAUAUCACAUGGUCAUUGUUGUUUACUCAUUUUUUAUUGGUUUCCGACUUUUUGCUACAAUGCUAUUUAAAAAUUUUAUUUACUUAUUUCUAGACUAAACAAAUAACUUAGUAAAAAUAUGUUCAUUUCUUUUUCUGAGCUGAAAACUGUAUAGAGACUAAUAUUACAGACGCCAAGUAUAUAUUAUGCGUAACUGUAUGAAUAUAUUUAUAUACAAUGUAGGUAGUCAAAGACUUUAACAAUGCUAUAUUACUUUUGUAUACUUUAAAGGAGUAUUCUACUUGUAAUCUAUUUGUAAUAUACGUAUUUAUUUUGAAUGAAAAUAAACCUGUACUCUGACGUCAUUACAGAUACAUGUCAUAUUUAUUAAUGUGAAUGCUUAAUAAAUUGUUUUAAACCGUG